rnacentral:misc_RNA from 1 species
UGACACGUGUGGGAAAGCCUUU